rnacentral:rRNA from 1 species
GAUGAACGCUAGCGGCAGGCCUAAUACAUGCAAGUCGAACGGGCGGUAGCAAUACCGCUAGUGGCGCACGGGUGCGUAACGCGUAACCAACCUGCCCAGAUCUGGGGGAUAGCCCGCCGAAAGGCGGAUUAAUACCGCAUAAACCCACAGUGUGGCAUCACAUAAUGGGUAAAGAUUUAUCGGAUCUGGAUGGGGUUGCGUAGCAUUAGCUAGUUGGCGGGGUAAUGGCCCACCAAGGCGACGAUGCUUAGGGGACCUGAGAGGGUGAUCCCCCACACUGGCACUGAGAUACGGGCCAGACUCCUACGGGAGGCAGCAGUAGGGAAUAUUGGGCAAUGGGCGAGAGCCUGACCCAGCCAGGCCGCGUGCCGGAUGAAGGCCUUCUGGGUUGUAAACGGCUUUUCUCAGGGAAGAAAACGGGGAUGCGUCCUCAACUGACGGUACCUGAGGAAUAAGCACCGGCUAACUCCGUG